CCUACGGGGGGCUGCAGUGGGGAAUUUUGGACAAUGGGGGCAACCCUGAUCCAGCCAUGCCGCGUGAGUGAAGAAGGCCUUCGGGUUGUAAAGCUCUUUCAGCCGGGAAGAAAUCGCAUCAGCUAAUACCUGGUGUGGAUGACGGUACCGGAAGAAGAAGCACCGGCUAACUACGUGCCAGCAGCCGCGGUAAUACGUAGGGGGCGAGCGUGAAUCGGAAGUACGCGGCGGGUAGCGUGCGCAGGGGGUGCAAUCCCCGGGCUCAACCUGUGAACUGCGUUUGUGCCUGCACAGCUAGAGUAUGGCAGAGGGGGGUGGAAUUCCACGUGUAGCAGUGAAAUGCGUAGAGAUGUGGAGGAACACCGAUGGCGAAGGCAGCCCCCUGGGCCAAUACUGACGCUCAUGCACGAAAGCGUGGGUAGCAAACAGGAUUAGAUACCCCGGUAGUC
rnacentral:rRNA from 1 species